rnacentral:rRNA from 1 species
UCAAACCUACUUAUAAUGGCGGCAUUCAAUUUUAUUAGAGGAACCUGUUUUAUAACCGACAACACACGAUAAUUUUCACUUAAAUUAAAAAUUUAUAUACCAUCGUCUAAAGAAUUAAUUCACAAACUUAUUCUAAAUAAUAACAAUAAUAUAAAAAGUCAGAUCAAGGUGUAAUCAACAUUUAAGCAAAAAUGGGUUACUUUAAAAGGAAUUUAAUAAAAAUUACCCAAAAUUAACUAAAAAUAGGAUUUAAAAGUAAUAUUUAAACAAUAUUUUUAUAUG